UUUACCUUCCACUCUACAAUGUCUGGAUUUUGAUUGUUUUGAAAGUGUUGCUGCGUAGAUCAGGGAGAUUCUGGGGUCAUAGUGGUGGUAUCUAACAUCUGGAUGGCAAACUCCCCCCAAAGGUAGCAUCCUAACUCGAAUAUAGGGGAAAUGUUCUUCAGCCUGGUGGGUUAGAUGUCGUCUGAGGGCAGCAGAAAGCCUUAUUUAGGCCGAGUUUUGGUCUGAAGGGUCGGCCUCUGGAGCUCAUGUUUCUGUUGUGGCUUCUUCUCUUACAGAAAGGAGAUGAAGGUGAGGAAGGCGUCACUAGCGAAGAGUUUGACAAAUUCCUUGAGGAGAGGGCCAAAGCUGCUGAGAUGACCCCCGGCGUACCAUCGCCCCCUGGCAGCAACCCCGGCGCAGCGCAGGGAACACCCAGCAGGAAGAAGCAGGAGAGACCGGAAGGUGCUCUGUUUGCCAUGUAGACUGUCAACCUUUGCCCCUCCCCCCAGACCCUGAACAGCAACGCCUGCAAUUGGACCUGUCCCCCGACCCAUCAUAGCACUACAUUGGCACAUGAGAAAGGCUAAAUCAAACAGAACCGGCGAGCAGGUGAUGGCUCCCAUCCGCAUGCCGAUUAGUUUCAGAGACGCUGGGGCUGCUUCUUCCUGGAUAGUUUCCUUUUAGGCCCGCUGUGGACUGCAGCUAAUGCUUUUUAGUUUCACUAAAACUUAAACAGGAUCCCUUAUAUUAGUUAUGCAGGACAUUUCUUUUUAGAUUCCUCCAGUCAGUGUUUGGUUUAAUUAUAGCUGACCAGUGCAGACUGCGCUCCUCAUCAGGGGAACCUGCACAUUAUGUUUUAGUGUUGCUUUCAGUCUCUGCAAACAAGUCUAAGUUGAUUUGUAAAUCUGUAAAUGGCAGAUGUUUGGUGUAUAUUUAAACUCCUUAUAUGGAAGAGAUGGUAAUUUAAUGUAGAUCUGUUCUUUUGUUUUUGGAAAGAGUUUAUGUUCUUAUCAGAUAUGUUUAAUAUCUCCAUGAUAGUCUGAGGAAAAAAAAAAAAAAAA